GAUGAACGCUGGCGGCGUGCCUAACACAUGCAAGUCGAGCGGACGGACGGGAAUCGUGCCUCUCUGAUGUUAGCGACGGACGGGUGAGUCACACGUGGAUACCCUACCUAUAAGACUGGGGUAACUUCGGGAGACCGGAUCUAAUACCGGAUAAUAUUUUGAACCGCAUGGAUCAACAGAGAAAGACGGUCUUGCUGUCACUUAUAGAUGGAUCCCGGCUGGAUUAGCUAGUUGGUAAGGUAACGGCUUACCAAGGCUACGAUGCGUAACCGACCUGAGAGGGUGAUCAGGCACACUGGAACUGAGACACGGGCCCGACUCCCAAGGGAGGCAGCAGUGGGGAAUAUUGGACAAUGGGGGAAAGCCUGAUCCAGCCAUGCCGCGUGUGUGAAGAAGGUCUUCGGAUUGGAAAACACUUUUAGUUGGGAGGAAAGGCAGUAAGUUAAUACCUUGCUGUUUUGACGGUACCAAAAGAAUAAGCCCCGGCUAACUUCGUG
rnacentral:rRNA from 1 species